GCCGCGGUACUCUGACCGUGCGAAGGUAGCAUAAUCACUUGUUCUUUAAAUGGGGACUUGUAUCAACGGCAUCNNGAGGGCCAUACUGUCUCCUUUUUCCAAUCAGUGAAACUGAUCUUCCCGUGAAGAAGCGGGAAUUAACCUAUAAGACGAGAAGACCCCAUGGAGCUUUAAACCCAACAACAAGUCUAAAUAAACAUACCCUAAAAAUUAAUGACACCUGAACUGUUGGUUUUAGGUUGGGGUGACCGCGGAGUAUAAACUAACCUCCACGACGAACGGGACUAAACCCUUAUCUACGAGCCACCGCUCUAAGAAUCAGCACACUGACUUCUAAUGAUCCGAUAUUCGAUCAACGAACCAAGUUACCCUGGGGAUAACAGCGCUAUCCAUUUCAAGAGCUCCUAUCGACAAAUGGGUUUACGACCUCGAUGUU
rnacentral:rRNA from 1 species